UUUUUCCGCUCGAACUAGCAUCCGCUCGAAGUAAAUUCCGCUCGAAUCGAACUGGCAUUCCCCUCGAACUGGUUCCCCAAGCAUCUUUGGUUCCCCUCUCGAUCUCUCUGUGCGAGUAAAAUGUUUCUUUCAUCAAUUCAGUUUGCAAGUAAGAAAAGCAAAAAUGUACUGGUUAUGUUAAGGAGUGCUGCAGGAACAAACACUAUUAAGUUAAUGACAAGACCAAGAACUGCUGACAAGCUUGUCAAGUAUUUAUUUGACUAUAAAGUGAAGAAACAUGUCAUCUUUGUUGAACAGAAGCGCAUUCGAUCAAUUUGAUAUUAAUUUUGACUAUUUAUUUUGCUGUAAAUAUAAUAGUCAGCAUUGUGGAACACUAU